rnacentral:rRNA from 1 species
AUUGAACGCUGGCGGCAGGCUUAACACAUGCAAGACGAGCGGAGAGAGGUAGCUUGCUACUGAUCUUAGCGGCGGACGGGUGAGUAAUGCCUAGGAAUCUGCCUGGUAGUGGGGGAUAACGUUCCGAAAGGAACGCUAAUACCGCAUACGUCCUACGGGAGAAAGCAGGGGACCUUCGGGCCUUGCGCUAUCAGAUGAGCCUAGGUCGGAGUAGCUAGUUGGUGGGGUAAUGGCUCACCAAGGCGACGAUCCGUAACUGGUCUGAGAGGAUGAUCAGUCACACUGGAACUGAGACACGGUCCAGACUCCUACGGGAGGCAGCAGUGGGGAAUAUUGGACAAUGGGCGAAAGCCUGAUCCAGCCAUGCCGCGUGUGUGAAGAAGGUCUUCGGAUUGUAAAGCACUUUAAGUUGGGAGGAAGGGCAUUAACCUAAUACGUUAGUGUUUUGACGUUACCAACAGAAUAAGCACCGGCUAACUUCGUGCCAGCAGCCGCCGUAACAC